AGGUACUGGUGUGGCUACAGUUGUUAUGACGUAUUUGUUGUGUACGUACUACAACGUCAUCAUGGCCUGGGCAUUGUUCUAUCUCGUCGCAUCUUUCGUAAGUCCGUUACCUUACGGAACAUGUGGUAACUGGUGGAAUACAGAUAAGUGUUUCUCGUACGAAGACUUGGAGAAUCUUGGUGAAAAUGAAACUCAGCCUAAUAAUAGCAUACCUCCAACACAGGAAUAUUUUGACCACAGAGUACUCCAAAUCAGCUCCGGUUUAGAAGACUUUGGCUCUAUGGUAUGGGAAUUGUUCCUCUUCCUCAGUAUUGCCUGGAUCCUGGUAUAUCUUUGCAUAUGGAAAGGAAUUAAACUGUCCGGAAAAAUUGUGUAUUUUACUGCCACCUUCCCUUACUUUGUAUUCGUUGUACUGCUGAUAUAUGCAUGUACGUUGCCAGGAGCAGUUGAUGGCAUCAAAUACUUUCUACAACCUGACUGGGAAAUGCUACUGGACCCUGCGGUGUGGACGGCUGCAGCGGCCCAGAAUUUCAACUCGAUUGGUAUAGGAUUUGGAACACUUAUAGCCAUGUCUAGUUACAACAAAUUUAACAAUAAUAUAUUUGCUGACGUCAUGACAGUAUCAUUAAUAAAUGCUGGGACGAGCCUGUUAGCAGCGUUCACCAUUUUUGCCAUCUUGGGAUACAUGGCGUACGUUGCUGGUCCGGGCGUGACUGUAGAUGACGUAGUCACUGAUGGUCCCGGUCUUGUGUUUGUUUCUGUACCAACGGCUUUUCCCGAAAUGCCUGCCGGGAAUCUUUGGUUUCUGUUCUUCUUCAUGUUAUGCUGCUUGGCACUGGACAGCCAGUUUGCCAUGACGGAGGUAGUGAUCACAACAAUCAUGGACGCCUAUCCAACAUUGGUAAAGAAAUAUUUGAGGCGUAAAGAACUGUUAGUUCUAAUUGUGGUUGUAAUUGCUUUCUGUGUCGGUCUUCCAACUAUCUUUGAGGGUGGCAUGUAUUGGUUUCAAAUCAUGGAUUGGUACACAGCAGUUAUUGCAGUCAUCAUCAUAGCCACGUUCGAGGUCAUAGCCAUAUCAUACAUAUACGGAGCUGGACGAUUAUCACGCAAUGUCAAAGAAAUGAUGGGUGAACUUCCAAACAUAUUCUUCAGAGUAUGUUGGUGGGUUAUUUCCCCCAUAUUGUGUGGAUUUAUAUUCAUCUCUAAUUGUGCGUCAUAUGAGGUUGUGACGUAUGGUGACUACGUGUAUCCAGACUGGGUGGAACUCUUUGGAUGGAUGGUUACAUCUAUGUCUAUUGUAUGGAUACCACUGGGUAUGGUGCACUCACUCGUCGUGUCCAAGGGAAACUUAAAGGAACGGUUUAUUGAUACAUUGACACCUAAAGUAGAAGAAACAAAGCAACCUGAAGAACUGGAUGAAAAACUGGAUACCGCGAAUGAUAACGCCUCCUUUGAGGAUGAUGAUAUCAAGGUCACUGCAACUAGACUGUAAACUGAUUAAUUUGAAGUAAAUAAAAUUAAAUGUGAUUUUUA
rnacentral:sRNA from 1 species